rnacentral:rRNA from 1 species
AGAGUUUGAUCCUGGCUCAGAACGAACGCUGGCGGCAGGCUUAACACAUGCAAGUCGAACGCAUCCUUCGGGGUGAGUGGCAGACGGGUGAGUAACGCGUGGGAACGUGCCCUUCAGUUCGGGAUAACCCAGGGAAACUUGGGCUAAUACCGGAUACGUGCGAGAGCAGAAAGAUUUAUCGCUGAAGGAUCGGCCCGCGUCUGAUUAGCUAGUUGGUGGGGUAAUGGCCCACCAAGGCGACGAUCAGUAGCUGGUCUGAGAGGAUGAUCAGCCACAUUGGGACUGAGACACGGCCCAAACUCCUACGGGAGGCAGCAGUGGGGAAUAUUGGACAAUGGGCGCAAGCCUGAUCCAGCCAUGCCGCGUGAGUGAUGAAGGCCUUAGGGUUGUAAAGCUCUUUCGUCCGGGACGAUAAUGACGGUACCGGAAGAAGAAGCCCCGGCUAACUUCGUGCCAGCAGCCGCGGUAAUACGAAGGGGGCUAGCGUUGUUCGGAAUCACUGGGCGUAAAGGGCGCGUAGGCGGCUUUAUAAGUCGGGGGUGAAAGCCUGUGGCUCAACCACAGAAUUGCCUUCGAUACUGUAUGGCUCGAGACCGGAAGAGGUAAGUGGAACUGCGAGUGUAGAGGUGAAAUUCGUAGAUAUUCGCAAGAACACCAGUGGCGAAGGCGGCUUACUGGUCCGGUUCUGNNGCUGAGGCGCGAAAGCGUGGGGAGCAAACAGGAUUAGAUACCCCAGUAGUCC